rnacentral:rRNA from 1 species
UACGUAGGGUGCAAGCGUUGUCCGGAAUUAUUGGGCGUAAAGAGCUCGUAGGCGGUUUGUCGCGUCUGCCGUGAAAGUCCGGGGCUCAACUCCGGAUCUGCGGUGGGUACGGGCAGACUAGAGUGAUGUAGGGGAGACUGGAAUUCCUGCUGUAGCGGUGAAAUGCGCAGAUAUCAGGAGGAACACCGGUGGCGAAGGCGGGUCUCUGGGCCGAUACUGACGCUGAGGAGCGAAAGCGUGGGGAGCGAACAGG